UUACUUGAGAGUUUGAUUCUAGCUCAGGAUGAACGCUGGCGGCGUGUCUAAGGCAUGCAAGUCGAGCGACGUGUUUCAGCACUCUGCAGACGAAUUUUCGUCGACAGGGUGCUGAAAUUACGAGCGGCAAACGGGUGAGUAACACAUUGGUAACCUUCCUUCAAGCCAGGGAUAGCCCACCGAAAGGUGGAUUAAUACCUGAUGGUCAGUCUAGGUGAAAAUCCUAGCCUGUAAAGAUUUAUCACUUGAAGAGGGGCCUAUGGCCCAUCAGCUAGUUGGCGCGGUAAUGGCGCACCAAGGCUAUGACGGGUAGCAGGCGUGAGAGCGCGACCUGCCUCAGUGGGACUGCGACACUGCCCACACUCCUACGGGAGGCUGCAGUCAAGAAUAUUCCUCAAUGGAC
rfam:Candidatus Magasanikbacteria bacterium RIFCSPLOWO2_02_FTLL_44_11 rifcsplowo2_02_scaffold_7444, whole genome shotgun sequence.